rnacentral:misc_RNA from 4 species
CGGGCGUCCUCACAAAUUACCUGCAUUCAGAGAUUCAUACCGGCACAGGUCGGUAUGCGAAGUCCCUUUUGGGGCCUUAGCUCAGCUGGGAGAGCACCUGCUUUGCAAGCAGGGGGUCGUCGGUUCGAUCCCGACAGGCUCCACCAUAUUGAGUGAAAAGACUUCGGGUCUGUAGCUCAGGUGGUUAGAGCGCACCCCUGAUAAGGGUGAGGUCGGUAGUUCGAGUCUACCCAGACCCACCACUCUGAAUGUAGUGCACACUUAAGAAUUUAUAUGGAUCAGCGUUGAGGCUGAGACAUGUUCUUUUAUAACUUGUGACGUAGCGAGCGUUUGAGAUAUCUAUCUAAACGUGUCGUUGAGGCUAAGGCGGGGACUUCGAGUCCCUAAAUAAUUGAGUCGUAUGUUCGCGUUGGUGGCUUUGUACCCCACACAACACGGCAUGUAACUCCGAGGCAACUUGGGGUUAUAUGGUCAAGCGAAUAAGCGCACACGGUGGAUGCCUAGGCGGUCAGAGGCGAUGAAGGACGUGGUAGCCUGCGAAAAGUGUCGGGGAGCUG